GAUGAAUCAAUGAUGAGAAAAGUAGAUUAAGCCCUUGUUCUACAGAGAGUCGACAGUUGCUGAAAGUCGAUGUCAGGACGUAUUCGAAGAUCAUCUCGGAGAUGUGUAGCUGAAACUGUUAAGUAAGCUAGACCGGAAAUUCCGCCGUUACAAUGGAACACGUACUUAGAAUGGUACGUUGAUCGAGAGCCGCAGUGUUUGUUUGUUGCGGAAGUAGGGUGGUAUCGCGAGUUAACUCGUCCCUAUA
rnacentral:ncRNA from 1 species